rnacentral:lncRNA from 1 species
UUGUUUGCGAUUGUCUUGGCGGUAUUUCUCUAAAAUUUUCUCCUUUUUUUCCACUUGAUAUGUGCUUCUUUGUGAUAAAUACACAAAUAAAUUGCCUAUAGAAUUAUUUGUUUCUUGGUUUUGAGAAUCAGGAUUGCUUGAAUUAAUCAUUCAAUUUUUACACAAAGAUGCUUCAACCAUGGUUUUGGUUGCAUGGCACGUCUGUCAUGUCUAAUCCUCAUUCAAAUAGAUCUACCUGCUGCUUUAUUUCUCCAAACCAACGUGUAAUCUUGUCGUUAUACUAAUUCUGUUGGACAGAUAUAUUUUCUUGUAUGAGACUAUAACAAAUCAAAGUUUGAGGUGCUGUCGUCUGAGGUAAUCCAUAUGUUUCAACAUUUCAUUUUGGCUAUCUAUUAUCUGAUAAAGUCAUAGGAAUAUAACUCCAUUUCCUUUUGCAGGAGCCAAUACAUGAGCGAAUAUCACGAAAUGUUGCAUCUGCACUGGCAUCUUUGAAGUAGACAGAUUUAUUAAAAUAAAAUUGUUAUAAGAUAUAUGAAUAAAUCUUAGUGCUAGUCAUAUAACUUAAGAAAAAUACUAUAUGAACAAAUGUUUUUGUGU